CCCAUGGAGUGCUUAACACUUAGCAUGCUGGGUGCUCACGGAUGGUAACAAUACAUCCAAAUGGUCCCAUAUUGAUUUAGGAGAAAUGCGACUGGUCUUGUUGCCACUCGGCAAAGCUCAUUAAGACGAAAUUGAUAUGGUAAAUGUGUACAUAGGUGCGCGAGAAGAAGAUAACAAGAUGAGGACAGUUCACACUGGCACACAGCUGCUACAGCUGUCACAGGAUAGAGCAAACACUUCUCAGGUACCACUUAAAUGUACUUGUAAGUGAGUAGCGUUUUUAGUCUUUUUAGCCGUGUCCGGAGUGUUGUUGCACAAAUUAAAAUUAAUAAUCGUUUAGUAUGUAAAUAUACAAAUUUA